CCCAUUCGCGGUCAAUUUUCCCCCAAAUCCCCUCAAACCUUUCUGAAACCAACCCAAAAUCCCUAACACCUUUCUGAAACCAAAAUCCCCAAAACUUUUUGAAGCAAAAUCCCCAAAACCCUUGAGCCAAAAUUCAACAAUGGUGAAGGACGACGACGGCUAACAGCGAGUGACGAUGGGUGAACGACGACGACGGGCAGCAAGUGAGCAACGAGUGACGACGAUGAACAACGACGACGAGCAACAACGAGUGACGGCUAGCAGCGAGCGACGACGAGCAGCGGUGAAGACGGCGACGACGAGUGAUGACUAUAUGCCCUCUCUCUCUCUCUCUCUCUAAUUACAUCCAAAGACUUCAGUUUUCGUGGGCUAAGGUUCAAUUUGAAGUUCGGAAAUGGAAAAUUGGCAAAAUUUCGAAUAAAGGAGCUCAAAGAUGUUCUCAAUCAACUGGGUCUUUCAAAGCAUGGAAAGAAGCAGGCCCUUGUAGACCGGAUAUUAUCCAUUCUCUCUGAUGAAUGAGAUUGAGUGAUGAUGAUCUAUUAUUCACAAGAAAUCAGACCAAAGUAACUCCUGUUUUGGUGAGGACACACAUAUUGCAUGUUAAUAAACAUAUUUGUGGCACAAAGUUGGUAGACAUAUUGUUGUGGCGAGGACUCAUCUUGGACUGUAUUCAAAUCAUCAGAACACACAUUUACGUAAGUUUUGUACAAUAUCCAAGAAGCUUGACUUUUAGCAAUGACUAGGGAUCCUUUUGUCAAAUUCUAGGUGUCACUAGUUCUUUAAGAAACUUGAAUUCGAGGUGUUGACGCCCCAAAAUCACUAAACGGCGUAGGUUUAGCACGAAACUUGGCACACACGACCGCCUAGGCACGAAAGACUUGUGGGAGAAGAC